rnacentral:rRNA from 1 species
GACGAACCGUGCGAACGUUAUUCGGAAUCACUGGGCUUAAAGCGCGUGUAGGCGGGGCGGCACGUCGGUCGCUGAAAUCCCCCGGCUUAACCGGGGAAGGGGCGCCGAUACGACCGCCCUCGAGGGACGUAGGGGGACCUGGAACUUCCGGUGGAGCGGUGAAAUGCGUUGAGAUCGGAAGGAACGCCCGUGGCGAAAGCGAGGUCCUGGACGUUUUCUGACGCUGAGAGCGAAAGCCAGGGGAGCGAACGGG